GAUGAACGCUGGCGGCGUGCCUAAUACAUGCAAGUCGAGCGAACAGACGCGGCGCUUGCUCCUCUGACGUUAGCGGCGGACGGGUGAGUAACACGUGGAUACCCUCCCUAUAAGACUGGGAUAACUUCGGGAAACCGGAGCUAAUACCGGAUAAUAUAUUGAACCGCAUGGUUCAAUAGUGAAAGACGGUUUUGCUGUCACUUAUAGAUGGAUCCGCGCCGCAUUAGCUAGUUGGUAAGGUAACGGCUUACCAAGGCAACGAUGCGUAGCCGACCUGAGAGGGUGAUCGGCCACCCUGGAACUGAGACACGGUCCAGACUCCUACGGGAGGCAGCAGUAGGGAAUCUUCCGCAAUGGGCGAAAGCUUGACGGAGCAACGCCGCGUGAGUGAUGAAGGUCUUCGGAUCGUAAAACUCUGUUAUUAGGGAAGAACAAAUGUGUAAGUAACUAUGCACGUCUUGACGGUACCUAAUCAGAAAGCCACGGCUAACUACGUG
rnacentral:rRNA from 1 species